rnacentral:RNase_P_RNA from 1 species
UGAGCUGACCAGGCGGCCGCGCGCAGGGUUUCCUGUGCGAGGAACGUCCGGACUCCACAGGGCAGGGUGCUGGGUAACGCCCAGUCGAGGUGACUCGCAGGAAAGUGCCACAGAAAAGAGACCG